rnacentral:rRNA from 1 species
GACGAACGCUGGCGGUGUGCUUAACACAUGCAAGUCGAACGGUAAGGCCCUUUCGGGGGUACACGAGUGGCGAACGGGUGAGUAACACGUGAGUAACCUGCCCUCAUCUCUGGGAUAACAGUCGGAAACGGUUGCUAAUACUGGAUAUGAGCCUGCAAGGCAUCUUGUGGGUUGGAAAGAUUUUUUGGUUGGGGAUGGACUCGCGGCCUAUCAGCUUGUUGGUGAGGUAGUGGCUCACCAAGGCUUCGACGGGUAGCCGGCCUGAGAGGGCGACCGGCCACCUUGGGGCUGGGAUUCGGCCCAAACCCCUACGGGGGGCAACCGUGGGGAAUAUUGCACAAUGGACGGAAGUCUGAUGCAGCAACGCCGCGUGCGGGAUGACGGCCUUCGGGUUGUAAACCGCUUUCAAUUGUGACGAAGCUUUUUGUGACGGUAGCAGUAGAAGAAGCACCGGCUAACUACGUG